AGAAGUAAAAGUCGUAACAAGGUCUCCGUUGGUGAACCAGCGGAGGGAUCAUUACCGAGUUAUCAACUCCCAAACCCCUGUGAACAUACCCAACGUUGCUUCGGCGGGACCGCCCCGGCGCCCUCGGCGUCCCGGAACCAGGCGCCCGCCGGAGGACCCAAACUCUUGUUUAAACCAUAGUGGCAUAUUCUGAGUCUCACAAGAAAAAUGAAUCAAAACUUUCAACAACGGAUCUCUUGGCUCUG
rnacentral:misc_RNA from 1 species